rnacentral:rRNA from 1 species
UAGGAAUCUUCCACAAUGGGCGAAAGCCUGAUGGAGCGACGCCGCGUGAGGGAUGGAGGCCUUAGGGUUGUAAACCUAUAAAAGAGGGACGAUAAUGACGGUACCUCUUGAAUAGCACCGGCUAACUCCGUGCCAGCAGCCGCGGUAAUACGGAGGGUGCGAGCGUUGUUCGGAAUUACUGGGCGUAAAGCGCGUGCAGGCGGUCUCUUAAGUCUGGUGUGAAAGCCCGGGGCUCACCCCCGGAAGGGCACUGGAGACUGGGAGGCUAGAGUACCGGAGAGGAAGGUGGAAUUCCUGGUGUAGCGGUGAAAUGCGUAGAUAUCAGGAGGAACACCGGUGGCGAAGGCGGCCUUCUGGACGGCUACUGACGCUGAGACGCGAAAGCGUGGGGAGCAAACA